UGCGGUGUUAGAGCAGAUUGUGUUUUCUUAUGUGAUAAACGAAUGGACUUUUUGGGGGAAUUCUGUAAUCGGAUGAUGAUUACAAGUACCGGUGUUUUUGUUUGCAUUCAUCUGAUUAUGUCUCCUUAGUCUCGGUCUCCUUGUGUGUUUUAAUUCUAGGACUUGAAGAUGGAGGAACUCUUUGUGGCCAUACUCUCAAUUCUUCUCGUUUUGGCGCUUAUUCCGCUGUUUGUAUGGAAGCGGCGAAAGGAUUCUUCAUCAACUGAUACGCACGAAGAAGGACAAGAUUAGUUCGCUCUACUGCUGGUGGUGACUGCUUUAUGAGUUAUGGGAGAGCCGGAUCCAGUGGAGUUGCAGCGGGUGGUAUCUUGCGAAUAGAGAGUUGUUGUGGUUCCUCAAGCUUAGGCCCAGAAAGUUCUAAGUGAAGUUGACAUGUCAAGAGAUAACGAGGAUCGAGAAGAAUAUUCAACUACGGAAUAAUUCGAGAGACGUAGAGUUGCAUCCUUAGUUCAUGAGGACGAGGAAGAUAACUCUACUUGCUCUAAGCGUCCAAGAAAAUGCACUUCGAUUGUAUGGUUUGAAUUUGAAAAGUUCACAGAUGGUGAUGGCAUGAAGAGGGCUAAAUGUAAGUGGUGUGAAGUAAGUU